AGGAGGAACAACCACAGUGGCGGUGGCCAGCUCUCCAGCCCUGGAUUCAGCUCCCACAGUAUGGAGCUCUCCGUCUGCAGGGCCUGGAGGCUCCGGGGCGGG
rnacentral:pre_miRNA from 1 species